AAAACAGGGAUCGUGUGUAUUGGUGUUGUGCUAGUUUUGUAGUGCACUAUGCUUGAAAGAUUUCUCUGCAAGUAGAUAGGCAAUUGUGUUUCAUCUUCUUAGUUGAAAGAUUUCAACAAUCAUCUUCCCCAAAUUC
rnacentral:snoRNA from 1 species